rnacentral:rRNA from 1 species
UCAGACGAUGCGUCAUGCAUAUCAAUAAGCGGAGGAAAAGAAACUAACAAGGAUUCCCCUAGUAACGGCGAGUGAAGCGGGAGAGCUCAAAUUUGAAAUCUUAAGGGUUUCCCUUUACGAAUUGUAGUUUAAAGAAGUGUUUUCUGUUGAGGUUUUGGUAAAAGUUCUUUGGAAUAGGACAUCAUAGAGGGUGAGAAUCCCGUAUUUGACCUUUACUUUCAACUUUGUGAUACACUUUCAAAGAGUCGGAUUGUUUGGGAAUGCAGUCCAAAAUGGGUGGUAAAUUUCAUCUAAAGCUAAAUAUUGGCGAGAGACCGAUAGCGAACAAGUACCGUGAGGGAAAGAUGAAAAGAACUUUGAAAAGAGAGUUAAACAGUACGUGAAAUUGUCAAAAGGGAAGCGUUUGACACCAGUGUUGUUUUUCUGAAAAUCAAUUAAAGAACUGUUUAUGCUAAGUUGUUUAGACUUUAUCAGCUAUCUGUUUAGUUUUGAGCUUUUCUUUAAUGCACUUUUCAGUUAACAAGUCAACAUCAAUUUCUUUUGCUGUAAAAAAGCUUGAGGAAGGUGGCCUGAGAUUCGUCUUAAGUGUUUAUAGCCUCUUGCCUAUGCAGUCGGAGAGAUUGAGGUCUGCAGCGUAGAUCCUUCGGGGCUAAAUGCAUUUGUGCUAAGUUAUAGCAUUUAUAGACAAUUUGUUGACUAUGAUUUGUCUUGUAGCUUACUCGCUUAUGUUAUUUUACCUACGCUUAGGAUGUUGAAUCUGUGCGAGACUAC